rnacentral:rRNA from 1 species
UACGUAGGGGCCGAGCGUUGUCCGGAGUUAUUGGGCGUAAAGCGCGCGCAGGCGGCUUCGCGCGUCCGACGUGAAAGCCCCCGGCUUAACCGGGGAGGGUCGUUGGGUACGGCGGAGCUUGAGGGCGGUAGAGGUUGGUGGAAUUCCCGGUGUAGUGGUGAAAUGCGUAGAGAUCGGGAGGAACACCUGUGGCGAAGGCGGCCAACUGGGCCGACCCUGACGCUGAGGCACGAAAGCGUGGGGAGCAAACAGG